UACGGAGGGUGCUAGCGUUGUUCGGAAUCACUGGGCGUAAAGCGCGUGUAGGCGGUCUGCUAAGUCUGAUGUGAAAGCCCGGGGCUCACCCCCGGAAGUGCAUUGGAAACUGGCAGACUGGAGUCCCGGAGAGGAGGGUGGAAUUCCUGGUGUAGCGGUGAAAUGCGUAGAUAUCAGGAGGAAUACCGAUGGCGAAGGCAGGUCUCUGGGCUGACACUGACGCUCAUGCACGAAAGCGUGGGGAGCAAACAGG
rnacentral:rRNA from 1 species